AACGCACGAGACCUGCGGACCUGCGGAAGGAUCAUUACCGAGUUUACAACUCCCAAACCCCUGUGAACUUAUACCUUUACUGUUGCUUCGGCGGGUCAUUGCCCCGGGGAAACAGGUGCCGCCAGGUCCCUGCCCCCCCGGAAACAGGCGCCCGCCGGGGGACUCAAACUCUUCUGUAUUUUUUGUUUACUGUAUACUGUCUGAGUAAAAAUUCAUAAUGAAUCAAAACUUUUAGCAACG
rnacentral:misc_RNA from 1 species